GCCUGGGUGGCUCAGCGGUUGAGCGUCUGCCUUGGGCUCAGGUCUUGAUCCCAGAGUCGUGGGAUGGAGUCCCGCAUCGGGCU
rnacentral:tRNA from 1 species